rnacentral:rRNA from 1 species
GUACAUAAUUCUAGAUACAUUCAUUUUUUAUACUUAAUAAAAAUUACGUUUAAGUCCAUCUUCAUACGCUUUUUCGAAGCGUUUUCUGCCUUUCUACCGUAACUCGCCUAAACUUCUAGAUGGUCUGCACCUUGAUCUGUAAUGUAGUUGAUUAACUUAUGAUAAUAUAUUAUAUAUUAUCUGAGGACGACGGCAUACAAAAUAUUACAUGAAGUAGAUUACCUUGGUGGUUAUCAAUUACUUGGUAAGUUCCCCUAAACUUUAAAAUUACCGCCAGGCUAUUUGAGUUUUAACCAAGAAAGGUUUUAGUACUCAGUGUUUUUAUGGGAGUAUUGUAUAAAAGGGUAUCUAAUCCUUGUUUAUGGGCAAUAUUUUUUAUAUGGUUGUAUAAACAGAGCUUAUAAUAUUUAUUUCACCAAUAUUAGGUAUAUAUAUACGUUAUUACACUUUCGGUUGUUCAUUACUAUAGAAGUCUGACCGCGACUGCUGGCACUUUUUUAGUCAUAGUAUAUAUAAGUGGUUUAAUCUUACUUCCGUAAAUUUAUAAAUUCCCUUGCCUGGUCAUAUCCUGUAAGUGCCAUAAGCAUCCUAUUUUAUAUGAACAUUUCACCAU